GACAGAGGGGGCAAGCGUUGCUCGGAAUUACUGGGCGUAAAGGGCCCGUAGGCGGCCAACUCAGUCGGAUGUGAAAUCCCCAGGCUCAACUUGGGAACUGCAUCCGAUACUGGAUGGCUUGAAUCCGGGAGAGGGAUGCAGAAUUCCAGGUGUAGCGGUGAAAUGCGUAGAUAUCUGGAGGAAUACCGGUGGCGAAGGCGGCAUCCUGGACCGGCAUUGACGCUGAACGGCGAAAGCUAGGGGAGCAAACGGG
rnacentral:rRNA from 1 species